GAGCAUGUCAUGCUGAGAAUGCACAUAGAGAAAGCUAUGAGAGAUCUCACUUCAAGCACAUUAUCUAUGAAAGUGCAUCAACACUCAAACUUCCUUAGCACCUCUAUCCCCUUUUGAUCUUUGGGUGAUGGUAAAAUGGUGUCCAAGCAAGAGAACCUAUCAGCGUUGUCAAUUCUAAGAAAGUGAGUGCCAAGAGCAGAUCGUAUCGUCAAUGAGGCUCAAGACAUCCAUUCCAAGUCUUCAAACUCUAUUAUAAAAUCUGGCACAAAGUGAAUGUUCAAUAAUUGCAAAUGAAUGAUAGUCAUCAGUGUGGUUUUGGGGUCCAAGCCUCAGAGAUCAUGCCCAGGGAAAUCCAGGACCACUGGGAAAAGGAUUCACACAUUUAAUUGUGUUGGCUUUUUGCACCUCUGUCUGUUCUACACCUACUGUCUGCCAGAUACUGGAUGGUUGAAGUGGAGCAUAAAGAUGGAAGGUUCCUAUCCUAAGAUAGAAGGCCAAUACACAUAGACCAACAUUUUGAGUCUGGGAAGUCCAAGGUCAAGGUGCUGGCAGAUUUGGUGUCCGAUGAGGGCCUGUUUCCUUUGCAGAUGGACCUCUUCUCAAGUUCUAGAUGCUGGGAAGUCCAAGAGCAUGGUGGCAGCAUCUGGUGAGGAUCUUCUUGCUGCAGCAUCUCAUGGAAGAAGGCUGAAGGGCAAGAGUGUGCUUUUGUUCCACUCCAUAAGUUCCCUCCUGGAGGAUGUGUGAGACACCAGGCUGCAUGUUAGAAACGGCUGUGCUCCGGAAGGCUACCAGGGUCAUCGUGAGGGCCUUGCAGAUUUCAGAAAUGAAGUGACCUGCCUUGAGUCUUCCCUCAGCCUCCUCACUCCACUGUAGUCUCAGGAGAGUGAGGACAACAAAACUCUCUUCUCCCCACAUUACCACUUCAGCGCUGACCUGUGGCUUGAGAAUCUAAUCUGUGUGCACCGUGGCAAAGUCUUGGUUUUACAGGUCUCACCUGACAGCUAGUCCUGAUUUUUCCAUGAUGUGUGGGUAAAAAGUGGGUUCUUGAAGGGAAACCUCAAUGUAGCUUAGCUCUUGAGAAAACAGUAUGUGCAUAUGCUUCUUGGAUAGAAAAAGAAAAAGGAAUGAGAGAGGAAAACGAAGUCUUAUAGAAAAACCUGGCCGGAUGCGGUGGCUCACACCUGUAAUCCCAACACUUUGGGAGGCCAAGGUGGGCAGAUCAUGAGGUCAAGAGAUCGAGACCAUCCUGGCCAACAUGGUGAAACCCCGUCUCUACUAAAAAUACAAAAAGUAGCUGGGUGUGGUGGUGUGCACCUGUAGUCCCAGCUACUUGGGAGGCUGAGGCAGGAGAAUCACUUAAACCUGGGGGCGGAGGUUGCAGUGAGCCGAGAUCACGCCACUCCACUCCAGCCUGGCGACAGAGCGAGGCUCCAUCUCAAAAAAAAAAAAAAGAAAAAAGAAAAAA
ensembl:lncRNA novel transcript